UACAGAGGUCUCGAGCGUUGUUCGGAUUCAUUGGGCGUAAAGGGUGCGUAGGUGGCGUGGUAAGUCUGGUGUGAAAUCCCGGGGCUCAACCCCGGAACUGCACUGGAUACUGCCAUGCUUGAGUACUGGAGAGGAGAUUGGAAUUUACGGUGUAGCAGUGAAAUGCGUAGAUAUCGUAAGGAAGACCAGUGGCGAAGGCGAAUCUCUGGACAGUUACUGACACUGAGGCACGAAAGCGUGGGGAGCAAACAGGG
rnacentral:rRNA from 1 species